UACGUAGGGUGCAAGCAUUGUCCGGAAUUAUUGGGCGUAAAGAGCUCGUAGGCGGCCUGUCGCGUCGGAUGUGAAAGCCCGGGGCUUAACCCCGGGUCUGCAUUCGAUACGGGCAGGCUGGAGUUCGGUAGGGGAGAUCGGAAUUCCUGGUGUAGCGGUGAAAUGCGCAGAUAUCAGGAGGAACACCGGUGGCGAAGGCGGGUCUCUGGGCCGAUACUGACGCUGAGGAGCGAAAGCGUGGGGAGCGAACAGG
rnacentral:rRNA from 1 species